rnacentral:rRNA from 1 species
GGUGAACGCUGGCGGCGUGCCUAAUACAUGCAAGUCGAGCGAACGGACGAGAAGCUUGCUCCUCUGAUGUUAGCGGCGGACGGGUGAGUAACACGUGGAUAACCUACCUAUAAGACUGGGAUAACUUCGGGAAACCGGAGCUAAUACCGGAUAAUAUUUUGAACCGCAUGGUUCAAAAGUGAAAGACGGUCUUGCUGUCACUUAUAGAUGGAUCCGCGCUGCAUUAGCUAGUUGGUAAGGUAACGGCUUACCAAGGCAACGAUGCAUAGCCGACCUGAGAGGGUGAUCGGCCACACUGGAACUGAGACACGGUCCAGACUCCUACGGGAGGCAGCAGUAGGGAAUCUUCCGCAAUGGGCGAAAGCCUGACGGAGCAACGCCGCGUGAGUGAUGAAGGUCUUCGGAUCGUAAAACUCUGUUAUUAGGGAAGAACAUAUGUGUAAGUAACUGUGCACAUCUUGACGGUACCUAAUCAGAAAGCCACGGCUAACUACGUG